rnacentral:tRNA from 1 species
GCCACCCUAGCUCAGUUGGUAGAGCAACUCACUCGUAAUGAGUAGGUCAUCGGUUCGAGUCCGAUGGGUGGCUCCA